GAGAAGUCAGGCCAGAUUAAGCCAUAGUACGGAAAGAGCUAUGCUGCCUGUGAGCCCCGUCCAAGGACGUAAAAUGAAGU
rnacentral:lncRNA from 1 species